AACGAACGCUGGCGGCAUGCCUAACACAUGCAAGUCGAACGAGACCUUCGGGUCUAGUGGCGCACGGGUGCGUAACGCGUGGGAACCUGCCCUUAGGUUCGGAAUAACUCCCCGAAAGGGGUGCUAAUACCGGAUAAUGUCUUCGGACCAAAGAUUUAUCGCCUUUGGAUGGGCCCGCGUUGGAUUAGCUAGUUGGUAGGGUAAAAGCCUACCAAGGCGACGAUCCAUAGCUGGUCUGAGAGGAUGAUCAGCCACACUGGGACUGAGACACGGCCCAGACUCAUACGGGAGGAAGCAGUGGGGAAUAGUGGACAAGGGGCGAAAGCCUGAUCCAGCAAUGCCGCGUGAGUGAUGAAGGCCUUAGGGUUGUAAAGCUUUUUUACCCGGGAUGAUAAUGACAGUACCGGGAGAAUAAGCGCCGGCUAACUCCGUG
rnacentral:rRNA from 1 species